rnacentral:rRNA from 1 species
GAAGCAGCAGGCGCGCAAAUUACCCACUCCCGGCACGGGAGGUAGUGACGAAAAAUAACGAUACGGGACUCAUCCGAGGCCCCGUAAUCGGAAUGAGAACACUCUAAACCCUUUAACGAGUAUCCAUUGGAGGGCAAGUCUGGUGCCAGCAGCCGCGGUAAUUCCAGCUCCAAUAGCGUAUAUUAAAGUUGUUGCGGUUAAAAAGCUCGUAGUUGGACUUGUGUCCCACGCUGUCGGUUCACCGUUCGUCGGUGUUUAACUGGCAUGCUUGUGCGGACGUCCUGCCGGUGGAUGCGGUCGGCCGUGGGCUCCGGUCUGCGCGUCGGCGGUCCGAUUCAAUCCUACCGCGGUGCUCUUCACCGAGUGUCGAGGUGGGCCGGCACGUUUACUUUGAACAAAUUAGAGUGCUCAAAGCAGGCAGUUGUUCGCCUGAAUAUUGUGUGCAUGGAAUAAUGGAAUAGGACCUCGGUUCUAUUUUGUUGGUUUCCGGAACUUGAGGUAAUGAUUAAUAGGGACAGACGGGGGCAUUCGUAUUGCGACGUUAGAGGUGAAAUUCUUGGAUCGUCGCAAGACGAACCUAAGCGAAAGCAUUUGCCAUGAAUGUUUUCAUUAAUCAAGAACGAAAGUUAGAGGUUCGAAGGCGAUCAGAUACCGCCCUAGUUCUAACCAUAAACGAUGCCAGCCAGCGAUCCGCCGAAGUUCCUCCGAUGACUCGGCGGGCAGCUUCCGGGAAACCAAAGCUUUUGGGUUCCGGGGGAAGUAUGGUUGCAAAGCUGAAACUUAAAGGAAUUGACGGAAGGGCACCACCAGGAGUGGAGCCUGCGGCUUAAUUUGACUCAACACGGGAAACCUCACCAGGCCCGGACACCGGAAGGAUUGACAGAUUGAGAGCUCUUUCUUGAUUCGGU